rnacentral:lncRNA from 1 species
GACUCUAAGGGAAUGAACGGUGCAGCUGCCAGAUGAAAGGAUCCAAGCACUUGAAUCACAAGAUGAAGGAAAACCACCCGCUUGCCAACCAGGACCACUGGAUUGGCCUAGAAUCUGAAGGGCAUCUGGUGGAGGACUCCAAGUCCUGAGGAAAUGGGGAAGCUACCAGGUCUGGUGGAUCCUAGGUGCCUGAAGAAUGGCACAACUCCUUGCUGACCCACAUCAAACAUAAUGUCUCAGCUGGAACACACAGGAAAUAUUCCUGGCAGUAUUGAACAACAUCACGGACACAAAAGGGUCCCCAAAGAGGGUGCAAAAGAUACUACCCUCCCAAGAUCCAGAGCCACUCCCAAAGAUAACCAAAAGAAAGAAGACUUAGACCUAAGUCCCCUGAGAGCUGGAAAUGUUGGUAGGAUCCUAGCUGCAAAUGCAGUGCAACCUACAUUUCUGUCCAGCCAUAUUUUGGGGGCCCCCAAUCUGACGAUUGCCAAGCCAAGUUCUCAAGACACAAAAUGAAGCCAACAAAAAGGCAAUAGCUGUCCCUGAGAGAGAAAGGAUCCAUAACCAAUGUUUUUUCUGCCAAUCUGAAUUUGGAAAUGAAGGGACAAUGUGAAAUUUUACCCUCCUCUGUCUGCCAGAUACCACAGAUAGAGAGCUGACUUUGGUAAAAUUCUGACCCUUUGCUGGUUUCUGCCAGCUUUCCCCGGAUGCUGUAUGCAGGCUCUGUGGAGUGAGUGGGCAUCCCAGUGGGUCUCAUCCUGGCCACCAGAAACUGUAGAGGAGGAAUAAUUUUCCCUCUACCCUUUAUAGGGCAUCCCUAGCUGAGACUCCUUUUUCUCCAGGGGACUUCGUAAAUGGAUACGUUUAUCUAAGAAGGUUAGAAGUUCUUCACUCUGGCCACUGUAAUUCAAGAUUCACUUUCAAAAGUUAAACCUAGUCAUUCACGCUUCAAACAAAAUUUUAUUCACCUGAGGCUUCGCACUGGCGGCUUCGCAGUGGACCAGUUUAAGUCAGACCCCGUCCAUCUCGGAAC